rnacentral:rRNA from 1 species
UACGUAGGGGGCAAGCGUUGUCCGGAUUUAUUGGGCGUAAAGAGCGUGUAGGCGGCCUUACAGGUCAGCUGUGAAAACUCGAGCUCAACCUCGAGACGCCGGUGGAAACUGCAAAGCUAGAGUCCGGAAGAGGAGAGUGGAAUUCCUGGUGUAGCGGUGAAAUGCGCAGAUAUCAGGAAGAACACCCGUGGCGAAGGCGGCUCUCUGGGACGGUACUGACGCUGAGACGCGAAAGCGUGGGGAGCGAACAGG